CACACAACUCUUGGCAACGGAUAUCUCGACUCUCGCAAUGAAGAUGAACGUAGCAAAAUGCGAUACCUGGUGUGAAUUGCAUAAUCCCACGAACCAUCGAGUUUUUGAACACAAGUUGCGCCCGAGGCCUUCUGGCCGAGGGCACGCCUUCCUGGGCAUCACGC
rnacentral:rRNA from 1 species